rnacentral:rRNA from 1 species
AUUGAACGCUGGCGGCAUGCCUUACACAUGCAAGUCGAACGGCAGCACGGGAGCAAUCCUGGUGGCGAGUGGCGAACGGUGAGUAAUAUAUCGGAACGUGCCCAGUCGUGGGGAUAACGUAGCGAAAGCUACGCUAAUACCGCAUACGAUCUAUGGAUGAAAGCGGGGGAUCGCAAGACCUCGCGCGAUUGGAGCGGCCGAUAUCAGAUUAGGUAGUUGGUGAGGUAAAGGCUCACCAAGCCGACGAUCUGUAGCUGGUCUGAGAGGACGACCAGCCACACUGGGACUGAGACACGGCCCAGACUCCUACGGGAGGCAGCAGUGAGGAAUAUUGGACAAUGGGCGAAGCCUGAUCCAGCAAUGCCGCGU